CGCCCCCUUUCACACACACACACCCAGAUCCGAGAGAAAGAGUGAACCAGAGGGAGGAGAGGAGGGAGACGGAGAUGAGAGAGCGCAAUCGAGAGAAUAGAGAGUGAGAGGGGGUCACCGCCGCAACGUCGCUGCAGCCGCCGCCAUUGCCGUCGCAGAGCAGGGAGCCCGGAGGGGAGAGAGAGACGAUUUGCAGACGAGAUGGAGAGAGAGGACGAAGAUGCGACGCAAGAGAGGAGGCUGUUCCGCCGUGCACUGUCGUCGCUCCUGGGGUCGAUUGAAGCCGCCGCCGCAGCUAGGGCUUGCCGUGCUCCUGCAACAAUAUAUUUUAGAAGUUGUAUUGGACUGGAAGAGAGGGAAGGGGAGUGUUUGAACUUUCAAUUUCAUUAAUUUUUGCUGAAUUUCUGUGCCUGUGGGUGAAUACUGGAUUGUGAAGGAUGGUUAGGAUUGUGAAUACAGAAGUUUGGACCUCUUCAUAUAUGGGAACAAUGCUGAUCGAUUCCUGCAUUGGAGCACUAGGUUCCAAAUUGUUCUAGGCGUGGAAAGGGGAUUGCAGUACCUUCAUGAGGAUUCACAUCUAAGAAUUGUUCACCGAGACAUCAAAGCAAGCAACAUUCUUCUUGAUCAUAAGUUUCAUCCCAAGAUUGGAGACUUUGGCCUUGCCAGGUUCUUCCCUGAAGACCAAGCUUAUCUUAGCACACAAUUCGCUGGAACAUUCGCCAAAAGGGCUGUUUUCGCCGGAGCCAGAACAUUA